GAUGAACGCUAGCUACAGGCUUAACACAUGCAAGUCGAGGGGCAGCAUAGGGUUUGCUUGCAAGCUCUGAUGGCGACCGGCGCACGGGUGAGUAACGCGUAUCCAACCUGCCCAUGGCUAGGGAAUAGCCCGUUGAAAAGCGGAUUAAUGCCCUAUGGUCUCCUUCGAGGACAUCUGAAGAGGAGUAAAGAUUUAUCGCCGAGGGAUGGGGAUGCGGCUGAUUAGGAAGCCGGCGGGGUAACGGCCCACCGGUCCUUCGAUCAGUAGGGGUUCUGAGAGGAAGGUCCCCCACACUGGUACUGAGACACGGACCAGACUCC
rnacentral:rRNA from 1 species